UACGAAGGGGGCUAGCGUUGCUCGGAAUCACUGGGCGUAAAGCGCACGUAGGCGGAUUGUUAAGUCAGGGGUGAAAUCCUGGAGCUUAACUCCAGAACUGCCUUUGAUACUGAUGAGCUUGAGUCCGGGAGAGGUGAGUGGAACUGCGAGUGUAGAGGUGAAAUUCGUAGAUAUUCGCAAGAACACCAGUGGCGAAGGCGGCUCACUGGCCCGGUACUGACGCUGAGGUGCGAAAGCGUGGGGAGCAAACAGG
rnacentral:rRNA from 1 species